CGUCUGAAUCUAUCUCCCCUUUCUCUGCAAUCUCUUCCAGUUCGUCCCUCUCUCUCUCAAAUUCCUGUGAGAUCCUCCUUGGGUCCUCACAAUUGGUAUUCAGAGCCAUGAAUUCGCGUCCGACUACGCUCAAAUCCUCUUGAUCCGGCGGUAAAAUUCCACUGCAAAGGGUGUGAAAUUUGCUUUGGCAAAAUUUGCUCAAAAUCCCGAGCAGGGUUCGCUGGAUUCGGAGCGAGCAGCAACGGCGCCGUCGAAGCCGCCGCUUCCUUCCGUCCAGACCAAGCUGGUCAUCGCCGCCAUGGGAGAGAACUCGGAGAGUCUUCAGGCGUCGCUGACCGCACUCCUCGCCAAGUUUGACGCCAUGGAUUUGCGAAUUUCCUCCUUAGGCAAACAUAUCGAGGCCACGCAAGAGAGCGUGGAUGAGAUUCGUCACCGUCAGGCCGAGCUGGGCGCCGCAACCGGGGGAUCCACGGUGACGGGUGGGCCGGAGACCGGCACGUCGUCAGCCACGCACCCGCCCCCGCAGUUGGCCAAUAUCCAGCCGCCGCUUUUGGGAACGCCCGAGGAACAAGCUGCAGGUACCGGAUUCGCGACUGCGCCCACCUCCCCAGUAGAACCAGUAGCUGCUCAGGAACAGGAGCAUCAUCGCGGGUACAGGCAGGAGCAAGUCACAGCGAAGGAGCCUGUUCAGGAACAUCAGAGGGGCUACAAUUAUCAGCGUGAGCAGGUUGAGGAGCACCGCCGUGACCAUGUCCAGGGCCACGGCUACGCCAACUACUUUAAGCCACCCAAGCACAAUUUUCCUCGUUUCUCAGGCGAAAACCCCAGGCUCUUUCGACCUCGCUGUUACCUACUUUGACAUGUACCAUAUUCCUGUGCAUCAGUGGGUUUCCACAGCCACUCUGUACUUGGAUGGGCAUGCCGCACUGUGGUGCCAGGCGUUCAAACGUCGGCGGCGUAAUUGGCACUGGAAUGAGUUUACUAGCGAGAUUGAAUUGGAGUUUGGUCACGGUGAAUUUGAGUCUCACAUGACAAAUAUUCUGAAACUGAAACAACAGGGCACAGUUCUGGAGUAUAAAACUGAAUUUGAGAUAGCCAUGUAUCACCUGAUUGCUAUCGAUCCUUCUCUGAACUCAAAAAAUUUCAUCUCAGUUUUUGUUGGGCCUCAAGGAUGAGAUACGAGCAGCAGUCCGAUUACAAGCCCCGUCCAGUGUGACUAGAGCCGUCUGUUUGGCCAGAAUUCAGGAAGAAGAGUUGGAAUUUCAAAAAAGCAAACCCAAGUUUCAGCGUUUUGUACAUCAUCAGUCAAGUCUUCCUACAGCUUCACCUAUUCCUCCAGUGCAGAAGAAAAACACGGAUGAUUUUGGCAGAGAACGUCAGUUAAGAGAUUAUCACCGUGCCAACGGACUGUGUUUUCGUUGUGGAGAGAAAUAUAGUAAGGAACAUCAGUGUAAAAAGCCUAUGCAGCUCCUUACAAUCCAGUUGGGAGAGCACGGUGAAAUUUUGACUGAAGAUGCUGUCCAAGCAUUGGAGCUACUGAGUGAACCUGAAAAAUUGGAAUGCUGUGAGAUCUCGGCUCAUGCUGUUUCUGGGGCUGAUAAUGCUGAAACAAUUCGCAUCCGAGCUCUGGUAAGCAACCAAGUCAUGUUAGCCCUCGUGGACUCAGGCAGUAGUCACAACUUUGUGGAUGAAAACUUUGCCAAGCGCGCUUCGUUGGACUUGGUCGCUGUUCCAUCAGUGCAAGUUACCGUUGCAAAUGGUCAAGCUAUGGAAUCCAAGUUUCAGGCCCCGAAUUUGACUUGGUGGGCACAGGGUCACACUUUUGAAACACCAAUGCGAGUGCUACAGCUGGGAGCAUAUGAUGCUGUCUUGGAGAUGGAUUGGCUGAAGUGUCACAGUCCAAUGACUUGUGAUUGGGAGGGAAAAUCGUUACAGUUUGUACAUAUGAUGCUAUGAUUUCCCUUCAAGGUGUUCAACCUGUUUCCCCUAUGCAAUUGCAACCGACGUCGAUAGAGCAAUUGGACAAAGCUCUGCAUGGCAAUGAUGUUUGGGCUAUGGCAGUGGUUGAUCCUUCUUCCGGUAAUGCAGUUUCUAAGUCGGGCUCGCAUCCAGAAGAUUUAGCUGCAGUUUUGACAAGAAUUCCAAGAUGUGUUCGAAACUCCAACUGGCCUGCCUCCACACAGAGUGUAUGAUCGUGCAAUUACCUUGGAAGUGGGACAUAAUCCUCCUAACUCUCGGCCUUAUCGAUACUCGCCACAACAGAAAGAUGAGACUGAACGACAAGUGGCAGAGAUGCUCAAAGCAGGGAUUGUGAAACCUAGCAUGAGCCCAUACGCUUCUCCAGUACUUCUGGUUAAGAAAGAAGACGGCAGCUGGCGUUUCUGCGUGAAUUACCGCAAACUCAACGCCAUCACUGUGAAGAACAAAUUCCCUCUUCCUAUUGUCGAUGAAUUACUUGAUGAACUGGCAGGAUCAAAAACUUUCUCCAAGCUGGACCUCAGGGCAGGUUACCACCAAAUCCGUAUGCAUGAACCGGAUGAGGAGAAGACUGCAUUCAAGACACAUUCAGGACACUUCCAAUUUUGUGUUAUGCCGUUUGGGGUGACCAAUGGACCACCAACAUUUCAGUGCUUAAUGAACAACAUUUUAGCUCCAGCUAAUCGCAAGUAUGUCAUCAUGUUUCUGGACGAGAUUCUAGUUUUCAGUACCACUUGGGAGGAACAUUUGGAGCAUCUCGCUCGGUACUGCAGACCUUGCGUGAGCAUCAGUUGUUUGUGAAGCUUUCCAAAUGCUCUUUUGCUCAGACGGAAAUUCAAUAUUUGGGCCAUGUGAUUUCCUCAGAAGGUGUGGCUACAGAUCCAGAAAAGACUCUGGCUAUGGAACAAUGGCCUCAGCCUACCAAUGCUACUGAACUACGGGGAUUCCUUGGGCUGACGAGUUACUAUCGAAAGUUUGUCCGGAAUUAUGGAACCAUGGCCUUUGACUCAGUUGCUGACAAAGAACGGCUUUCUGUGGACUGAACAAGCUACUGUAGCUUUUCAAAGCCUGAAAACAGCUAUGACCAGUGCUCCUGUGUUAGCCUUGCCAGAUUUCAGUAAACCUUUUGAAGUGGAAACAGAUGCUUCAGCCACAGGCAUUGGUGCUAUUCUCUCCCAGGACAAUCAUCCCAUUGCUUAUCUUAGUAGAGCGUUGGGUGUUAAAAAUCAGAAACUGUCAGUUUACGAGAAGGAAUUUUUAGCUGUCAUAAUGGCGAUUGACAAGUGGCGGCCAUAUCUCCAGCGAGGUAUCUUUACCAUUGUCACUGAUCAUAAGAGUUUGUGCCAUUUACAGGAUCAAAAACUGACCUCAGAUCUGCAACGUAAAGCUAUGGCCAAAAUGGUGGGUCUCCAGUUCCAAUUCCGAUAUCGCAAGGGUUCUGACAAUAAUGUUGCUGAUGCACUGUCUCGUGUUCGUCAAGUGUAUACUAUUUCUGCCAUUUCCGUGUGUCAACCCAUUUGGAUGCAGGAGGUGCUCAACGCUUAUAAAACUGACUCUGUGGCCAUGGAGUUACUUGCACAGCUCGCUGUACAUAGUCCUGAUGCACAUUGGUCAUUCCCUGGACCAAGGACUGAUUCGCUACAAUGGUCGCCUCUGGAUACCCAACAACUCUGCCUUACAAACCAAAUUGAUUAGUGCGUUGCAUUCCAGCGCAGUUGGAGGUCAUUCUGGGGUCAGGGCUACCUACUGGCGGGUUUCCAACCUUUUUCAUUGGGUAGGACUGAAGAAACAGGUGGCGGACUGGGUUCGACAAUGCCAAGUUUGUCAGCAGGCAAAACAUGAAAGAACAGUGCCUGGUGGUCUGCUCCAACCCCUCCCAGUUCCUGACCGCCCAUGGAAAGACAUAACCAUGGAUUUCAUAGAUGGGUUACCCAAAUCAGAGGGAUUUGAGGUGAUUUUGGUGGUGGUCGAUCGUUUUACAAACCUACCACCCACAGACGGAUGGCCAAUCGGAGCGUGUAAACCAAUGCUUAGAGCAGUAUCUGCGGUGUGCUGUUCAUGACAGUCCAGCUCGUUGGAAGCGUUGGUUGCCAAUGGCGGAAUUUUGGUACAAUUCCUCAUAUCAUACCUCCCUUGGAUCGUGAGGAUUUUCUAGCUAUGUUGCGUGACAACUUACUGCAUGCUCAAUAGAGAAUCAAGUCUCAGGCAGAUAAACAUCGUCAGGAUCGGGACUUUUGUUGCCUACUUGUCCUUGUUGUUUUCUAUACGAUUUUCGUGGACUCUUUUUGCAUUGUC